GAUGAACGCUGGCGGCGUGCCUAAUACAUGCAAGUCGAGCGAACGGACGAGAAGCUUGCUUCUCUGAUGUUAGCGGCGGACGGGUGAGUAACACGUGGAUAACCUACCUAUAAGACUGGGAUAACUUCGGGAAACCGGAGCUAAUACCGGAUGAUAUUUUGAACCGCAUGGUUCAAAAGUGAAAGACGGUCUUGCUGUCACUUAUAGAUGGAUCCGCGCUGCAUUAGCUAGUUGGUAAGGUAACGGCUUACCAAGGCAACGAUGCAUAGCCGACCUGAGAGAGUGACCGGCCACACUGGAACUGAGACACGGUCCAGACUCCUACGGGAGGCAGCAGUAGGGAAUCUUCCGCAAUGGGCGAAAGCCUGACGGAGCAACGCCGCGUGAGUGAUGAAGGUCUUCGGAUCGUAAAACUCUGUUAUUAGGGAAGAACAUAUGUGUAAGUAACUGUGCACAUCUUGACGGUACCUAAUCAGAAAGCCACGGCUAACUACGUG
rnacentral:rRNA from 1 species